UGUAGGAUUGUUGACAUCAAGCAGAGAGAGAGAGAGAGAGAGAUAGAUAGAGAGAGAGCCUAUGUUGGCAAACAGAAGCACAUCGAAAAGUGUGCCAACAGUGGUCAUCUGGGCCAUACAGGAGCAAAUGUCUCAUCGUAGUCAUGACUGUAUGUUCUCACCAGUAGACGAGCUUUGUAAAGCUCUAGAGAAACAUCAUAGUCUCACCCUUGUGGGUCUAGUUACAAGUAAUGAGACGAGCAAGAGGAGGAAGGGAAAUGAGAUUCCACUAGCCGACAAGGUGAAGAGCAUUUGAUGCCAUCACAUGCUGCCAUUGUGGAUGAAAAAAAUGUCAUGAUAAGAAGUCUUCUUGUGAAGACCACCGCAAUAACUAACCAUAGCAGUCAAUAGGCAGAAGCGGGCGAGCUCGAAAGCCAUAAGUAGGCUGAUCUGGAGCUAUGUGUUGCCAACAGAAGAAGACAUAGUAGUUGUGGGAGAUGACUCAUUAUAAGAAUCAACAACACGCGAACAAUGAGUGUAGUAAAGUCAAGGAAGAUGAGCAAAAGAAGGAACAUGCAAGACAAACUGCCAAGAGUGCCUCGACUAUCGACUGGCAGGGAAGUUACAUUGACAGUAAAAACAUGAACAUGAGAAUCUAGAUGUGGAAUACCCAAGUGGUGGCUGCACGUAAAACCCCUGACAAAAUUCACCAUUAAAAAAGUCUUUGUUAACAUCAAGCCGAGACGGAGUGACGAAUAAAGGCCGCAACAAGAUGUGUGUGAACAAUUGUCGUAUGGCCCGCAUAAGCUGAAACUCUCAUCGUAAUUAGGACCAUGAUUCUACUGAAAGCCACGAGCCACAAGACGAGCUUUGUAAUGUUCAAGAGAACCAUCAGAACUAGUCUUAACCUUGUAGACGCAUCAAGUAAUGGGACGAACACGAGGAGGAAGGGACACAAUAUCCGAUGUGCUGAUGUGCUCAACAGUAGCAAUAUCCUCUACCAUGGCAAGGCGCUAUUUGGUAUGAAUAACAUCAAGAUAAGAAGUCUGCUCAAGAAAGUGGCGCCAACGUUUCAUAGCCUAAGGCGGUCCACAGGCAAAAGUGGACGAGGUCGCAAGCCAUAAGAAGACCGAGACGGAGAAGAUGGCACAUCAGUAGAUGCAUCCACAACACAUGAACGACGUGUAUAAAAGUGAGGCAAAUGUGGAAGAAUACGAGCAAUAAUCCCCGAGAUAAGCUCAGGUUAGCGAGACAAGGAAGUCACCGAUGAUGAAGGUUUAGAAUCCCGUGAUAAGCGAAGUGAGGAAAUCACAGGAGAUGAUGGUGCUGAAUCUGUAAUAAUUGGAGAAGCAGGAGCAGUACGAGGAAUGGAAUAGGGCUCAACUAUAGUGAUAAGAAUGUCGGGAAAAGUGAGGUAACACAUCCUCCACUAAAAAGGUCGGGGAUGAUGGUCAUACGUAGCAGGGACGAGACUCACUAAAAGUCAUACCGUGAGAAAUAGUCACCCGAUGACCAACCUGAUCCCAACAACAAUAUCUCUUAUGCUCAUUGUUGUAUCCUAGGAACACUCAACAUACUAAGUAGUAAGUUUGGUACAUUGACGAGAGGCAGUAAGGGCACAUCAAACACAACCAAACAAUUGAAGCGCUGAAUAAUCUGGAAACGAUCAAAUAGACUCGGAAGGAGAUGACCAUGGUGGAAGUGGAGACGCAUUCAACCCAAAAGUGUGGCGUAAGAGAGGCAGUGACCAUCCAAAAGUGUGGCGGAAGAGAGAGCAGUGACAUUGAACCUAUGAGCCGUCUCAAUAGUUGACGAUGCUUGCCCUCAGCUAUGCCAUUUCUGAGCAUGAGCACCAGGAUAAGAGAACUGAGCAAGAGCACCCUGCUCAACAAGGAUUGAGCGCAACAUCUUGGAGAUUUAUUCUCCACCGAGUCAUCACAGUAUACAAGAAUAGGCGUAGAGAGAUACUAUGUUGGCAAACGGAAGCCACAUCGAAAAGUGUGGCAAAAGUGGUCAGCUGGGCCAUACAGGAGCAAAUGUCUCAUCGUAGUCAUGACUAUAUGUUCUCACCACUAGAUGAGCUUUGUAAAGCUCUAGAGAAACAUCAUAGCCUCACCCUUUGAUGUCAUCACAUGCUGCCAUUAUGGAUGAGAAAACGUCAUGAUAAGAAGUCGUCUUGCGAAGAGCACCACAAUAACUAACCAUAGCAGUCAAAAGGCAGUAGCAGGCGAGCUCGAAAGCCAUAGUUAGGCUGAUCUGGAGCUAUGUGUUGCCAACAGAAGAAUACAUAGUAAUCGAGGGAGUUGACUCAUUAGAAGAAUCCACAACACGCGAACAGUGAGUGUAGUAAAGUCAAGGAAGACGAGCAAAAGAAGGAACAUGAAAAGAGAAACUGCCAAGAGUGCCUCGACUAUCGACAGGUAGGGAAGUUACCAGGAUAGGAGAACUGAGCAAGAGCACCGUGCUCAACAAGGAUUGAAUGCAACAUCUUGGAGAUUUAUUCUCCACCGGAGUCAUCACGGAAUACAAGAAUAGGCGUAGGGAACUUGGUGUGUGCCAUGGCAUCAAAACGCUUACACAUAUAAGACCUCACUACGAAAGGAAAUAAAGUAUAUCCAGGUGUGUUGAGAGAAGUCAUCUAUAAAUAUAGUACUAGCGAUAACCUCCUUUCGAGGCGAAAGGAGGUGGGUCCCAGACAUCAAAGUGAACAAAGGUUGAAAGGGUUGUUGAGACACUGUCUCGCUAUGAGCAUAAGGUAAGUAUAGCUGUUUAACAAGCCGACAACCCGGACAGUUUGGAGACAUCAUCGGAGACUGAUCCAAGAAGACCAUGUCAAACUAAGGAUGCGAGAUGAGAGCCACACAAGUGACCCCAGGCGACGAUGGCACUUCUAAGCAUAACUGCUAGACAAGGUAACAGAGGUGGAGAGACUAGCGGCUGUAGCAGCAGAGUCACUUGAUCCAGCAUCCUACGUGCCUGUGCGCUCUCCGUUACCCGCCGAUCCGGCUUGGUGUGCUUCUCCUGUUUGCGGGUUGUGUGCCACGCACUUGAUUAAGCACCCCACGUUCUCCUACAGUGCGCCCUUGACCCUGGCUUUAGGUAGCGCCGUGUCCUCGGCUUGCCGUGCAUAAUCCAGGUAUGCGCCAACUGUCCGAGCUCCUGCUCACCAUCGGUGUUGCUCGAGCGUGGGUUCUGGUGUCGCCCAUAAAGGGAACACGGGAUGUGGGAUUGAGACAGUUCACAUAGCAACCCACAGCAAGGCAAAGGAUGCCCAUCCAACUGGCAGGGAGCGGAGGUGGACCCAAAAAGGUGGAUGUUGACUCCAAGGAGUCUCAACAGUACGCUUGUCAGUAAGAGGAGCAAGAAGAUCCUGGAUAUACUUCUCUUAGCAAAUAAAGAAGCCAUCAAAGGUAGACUCAGGGAAGUAGCGAUGAGGACCAAGGUCAGACAUAAGAAACUCACUGUGACGAGCAUUCACAAAGGCAAUGUACUUAAGAGUCGUGCAGGAUCAUGAGCACGCGUUGAAAAACGAGCCUUAUUAACCACAGAGACAACGCUCAAACCAGUCAUGAGGGGUUUGCUAAAGAGCAUAUAGAGAACGCCAAAGGCGACAAACCAUGCCGGCUGGAAAAGAAUACCCAAGUGGUGGCUACAUGUAGGAUUGUUGACAUCAAGCUGAGAGAGAGAGAGAGAGAUAGAUAGAUAGAGAGAGAGAGAGCCUAUGUUGGCAAACAGAAGCACAUCGAAAAGUGUUCCAAAAGUGGUCAUCUGGGCCAUACAGGAGCAAAUGUCUCAUCGUAGUCAUGACUAUGUUCUCACCACUAGACGUGGUUUGUAGAGCUCUAGAGUAACAUCAUAGUCUCACCCUUGUGGGCCUAGUUACAAGUAAUGAGACGAGCAAGAGGAGGAAGGGAAAUGAGAUUCCACCAGCCGGCGAGGUGAAGAGCAUUUGAUGCCAUCACAUGCUGCCAUUGUGGAUGAAAAAAAUGUCAUGAUAAGAAGUCUUCUUGUGAAGAGCACCGCAAUAACUAACCAUAGCAGUCAAUAGGCAGAAGCCGGCGAGCUCGAAAGCCAUAAGUAGGCUGAUCUGGAGCUAUGUGUUGCCAACAGAAGAAGACAUAGUAGUUGAGGGAGAUGACUCAUUAUAAGAAUCCACAACACGCGAACAAUGAGUGUAGUAAAGUCAAGGAAGAUGAGCCUAAGAAGGAACAUGCAAGACAAACUGCCAAGAGUACCUCGACUAUCGACUGGCAGGGAAGUUACAUUGACAGUAAAAACAUGAACAUGAGAAUCUAGAUGUGGAAUACGCAAGUGGUGGCUGCACGUAAAACCCCUGACAAAAUUCACCAUUAAAAAAGUCUUUGUUAACAUCAAGCCGAGACGGAGUGACGAAUAAAGGCCGCAACAAGAUGUGUGUGAACAAUUGUCGUAUGGCCCGCAUGAGCUGAAACUCUCAUCGUAAUUAGGACCAUGAUUCUACUAAAAGCCACGAGCCACAAGACGAGCUUUGUAAUGUUCAAGAGAACCAUCAGAGCGAGUCUUAACCUUGUUGACGCACCAAGUAAUGGGACGAACACGAGGAGGAAGGGACACAAUAUCCGAUGUGCUGAUGUGCUCAACAGUAGCAAUAUCCUCUACCAUGGCAAGGCGCCAUUUGGUAUGAAUAACAUCAAGAUAAGAAGUCUGCUCAAGAAAGUGGCGCCAACGUUUCAUAGCCUAAGGCGGUCCACAGGCAAAAGUGGACGAGGUCGCAAGCAAUAAGAAGGCCGAGACGGAGAAGAUGGCACAUCAGUAGAUGCAUCCACAACACAUGAACGACGUGUUUAAAAGUGAGGCAAAUGUGGAAGAAUACGAGCAAUAAUCCCCGAGAUAAGCUCAGGUUAUGGAGACAAGGAAGUCACCGGUGAUGAAGGUUUAGAAUCCCGUGAUAAGCGAAGUGAGGAAAUCAUAGGAGAUGAUGGUGCUGAAUCUGUAAUAAUUGGAGAAGCAGGAGCAGUACGAGGAAUGGAAUAGGGCUCAACGAUAGUGAUAAGAAUGUCGGGAAAAGUGAGGUAACACAUCCUCCACUAAAAAGGUCGGGGAUGAUGGUCACACGUAGCAGGGACGAGACUCACUAAAAGUCAUACCGUGAGAAAUAGUCACCCGAUGACCAACCUGAUCCCAACAACAAUAUCUCUUAUGCUCAUUGUUGUAUCCUAUGAACACUCAACAUACUAAGUAGUAAGUUUGGUACAUUGACGAGAGGCAGUAAGGGCACAUCAAACACAACCAAACAAUUGAAGCGCUGAAUAAUCUGGAAACGAUCAAAUAGACUCUUGAAAGGAGAUGACCAUGGUGGAAGUGGAGACGCAUUCAACCCAAAGGUGUGGCCUAAGAGAAGCAGUGACCAUCCAAAAGUGUGGCGGAAGAGAGAGCAGUGAAAUUGAACCUAUGAGCCGUCUCAAUAGUUGACGAUGCUUGCCCUCAGCCAUGCCAUUUCUGAGCAUGAGCACCAAGAUAAGAGAACUGAGCAAGAGCACCCUGCUCAACAAGGAUUGAGCGCAACAUCUUGGAGAUAUAUUCUCCAUCAAAGUCAUCACAGAAUACAAGAAUAGGCGGUGAGAGAUACUAUGUUGGCAAACAGAAGCCACAUCGAAAAGUGUGCCAAAAGUGGUCAUCUGGGCCAUACAGGAGCAAAUGUCUCAUCAUAGUCAUGGCUAUAUGUUCUCACCACUAGAUGAGCUUUGUAAAGCUCUAGAGAAACUUCAUAGUCUCACCCUUUCAUGUCAUCACAUGCUGCCAUUAUGGAUGAAAAAACGUCAUGAUAAGAAGUCGUCUUGCGAAGAGCACCACAAUAACUAACCAUAGCAGUCAAAAGGCAGUAGUAGGCGAGCUCGAAAGCCAUAAGUAGGCUGAUCUGGAGCUAUGUGUUGCCAACAGAAGAAUACAUAAUAAUCGAGGGAGUUGACUCAUUAGAAGAAUCCACAACACGGGAACUGUGAGUGUAGUAAAGU
rnacentral:lncRNA from 1 species